rnacentral:lncRNA from 1 species
AGUAACAGCAAGAAAAUUGGUGUAAGUUGCGAUAGCAGAAUUCUCGUCGAAAAAUUUCAGCAACUUACGAUGAAAAUUUGCAGCAAUAUAGGAACGAAUUUUUUUUUUUUUUUGGAUUUUCGGAUAGGGAUAAAUAAAUUGCAGCAGCAGUAAGGUAGGAAACUAGAACCUGUUGCAAUUCACGGGGAGAUCAAAGGUUGAUCUGCAGUGGUGGAGAUGAUGGUGGAAUUCGGCGACGAUCUUUUAAGCAAU